GCAGUGGGGAGCUGUUGAGAGCAUUUUGAGUGGGGCAGUGACACUGCUGGCUCUGCAUUUUGGAAAGGUGGUUUUCAGAGCAGUUUGGAUGAUGCUGGGGAGUAGCUGACAGGUUGAAGAUCAGUCCUGAGGAGCAGAUUCAUAAUCCACUUAGGAAAAAGGAGGGGGGAUGCACGGAGUUAGCACAUAUUAAGUGCCUGCUGUAGUCAAGCCCUGUUGGACACCAGGGACAUCUGGACCUUGACAACGGAGCGAAGGGGUGGUCCUGCCUGCACCAGGUUUCAGGUGAGGAGAUUGAGGCCCACAGAGAUCCGGGACUGGCCUCACUUAGCUGACUGUGGGUUCUCUCAACAGGGUGAACAUGAAAAAUAGAAGCCUCCAGUUUCUCCUGAUAGUGUAUAGAUGGGCAGAUCUGGCCUCAAUGGCAGAAGAUACUUGGGGAACUGGAGAAAGUACAGAAGGUGAUGUGAAAUCAAUUGGGUCAUCAAAAGAAGACGGGUGUACCACAAUUUGUUCCUCCACCUGCUGCCCAUGAACAUUUGGAGGGUUUCUAGUUUUUGGCUAUUACAAAUAAAGUUGUCAUGAACAUUUGCAUAC
rnacentral:lncRNA from 10 species